CCUCAGGCACUAAAAAUGUGAGGAACUAACCUACUGUAUCAUGAGGUCAUGUGAAUUAAUCCCUGAAACUUGAAGAUGAUACAAAUACAGAGUGUCCCAAGAGAAGUGCAGACCAUCAGAAUCAGAAGGGAUCUGGCCAGGAGAGAAACUGAAGCCCAGGAAGAAACAGCUUCUUCAAGAGUUAAUUAACAAAAUCCAGACCUUGAUUAUGUCAUAAGUGAAAACGUGAUGAUCCUCUUGAGUGUUCACCGGACAUUAAUCCCUGUUACAAAACCAGCAUAAUAGAUGAAUUCAGCUUCUACGCAGAAGCUCCUUUGGUAUGCCUCUGGGGCUCUCCUUGCUGCUGGUACUCCCCUCUGACACUAGACAUCUUCAACUGAAGCUCUGCCCUCUCCUGUUACUGUGUGCCUCCAAAGCUACCACUGGCCACUCCUCCAAUGGACUGCUGCUGCCAUCUUCUGGAGCUGUUACCUACUGAUGAAGCUUCCACCAGGAGACUAACCCAAGUCAACAACUCAUCACCAAUGAACACAUUUUCACUUCUUCUGUUAGGAAGCCUUGGGAUAUAUGAAGGGGCAGCAUCAAAGCCUUUGGCUAGCAAAUUUUUUUUCCUUCUUUGAUUCAUGUCCUCACCCCACACUCCCCCAAAAUAGGAAUUCACUCAGUCAUAGGAUCAUAGAUUUGGAGCUAGAAAGUACCUAAUAAACCAUCUAACCAACCUCCUCCUUAUAGAUGAGGAAACUGAGACUUCAAGAUAUUAAGUGAGUCAUCCAAGGUCACAUAAUUAGUAAGUGACAAAAGCAGACCUCACUCCUAAUUUGACUAGGGCAAGUACAUUCUUUUCAAUGCCCAUCGUGCUCCUCACAGCUAGCCCCCAUGCCUUGUGAAUUGCCUUAAAGAGGCACUUAGUAACACUGGAUGAGGAGGGACUGGAAUGGAUGAGCUUUGCCCUGAAUUCCUACCCUUACACCAAAGGUCCCUGUCUCCCUUCUAUAUACUUCUCGUGUUUUCUGUUAGUUUUUACCCCACUUACAUCUUGUAAAUAUUUAAGCAAAAAAGAAAAACCCCAUGAAAAUAUAUUCACUUAUUCAAUCAUUCAUUCAGCAGAUAGUAUGCAGCUGUUAUAUGUAAGGGCUCGUGUUGGAUAUCAUUCAUAGAGAAAUAAUAAAUGGUCCCUCCCUCCAAGGAGCUCACAAUCUAGUAAACUGGUUUCUCACCCUUAUGUCAGAGGAGCUCAGGGUAUGUACUUUGAUUGUCCUAAGACUGUUACACUU